GUGGUCUUAUAGAUGAGGGGAUACAGAUAGAUGGAGUAUAAAUUAUUCCGUCUGUGGGCUUAUAGAUGAGGGGAUACAGAUAGAUGGAGUUUAAAGUAUUCAGUCUGUGGGCUUAUAGAUGAAGGGACACCGAUAGAUGGAGUAUAAAGUAUUCAGUCUGUGGGAUUAUAGAUGAGGGGAGACAGAUAGAUGGAGUAUAAAGUAUUCAGUCCGUGGGCUUAUAGAUGAGGGGAUACAGAUAGAUGGAGUAUAAAGUAUUCAGUCUGUGGGCUUAUAGAUGAGGGGACACAGAUAGAUGGAGUAUAAAGUAUUCAGUCUGUGGGCUUAUAGAUGAGGGGAUACAGAUGGAGAAUAAAGUAUUCAGUCUAUGGACUUAUAGAUGGAGUAUAAAGUAUUCAGUCUGUGGGCUUAUAGAUGAGGGGAUACAGAUAGAUGGAGUAUAAAGGCUUCAGUGUGUGGUCUUAUAGAUGAGGGGAUUCAGAUAGAUGGAGUAUAAAGUAUUCAGUCUGUGGGAUUAUAGAUGAAGGGACACAGAUAGAUGGAGUAUAAAGUAUUCAGUCUGUGGGCUUAUAGAUGAGGGGAUACAGAUAGAUGGAGUAUAAAGUAUUCAGUCUGUGGGCUUAUAGAUGAAUCGACACAGAUAGAUGGAGUAUAAAGUAUUCAGUCUGUGUGCUUAUUGAUGAGGGGAUACAGAUAGAUAUGUGGGCUUAUAGAUGAGGGGACACAGAUAGAUGGAGUAUAAAGUAUUCAAUCUGUGGGCUUAUAGAUGGGGGGAUACAGAUAGAUGGAGUUUGAAGUAUUCAGUCUGUGGGCUUAAAGAUGAGGGGAUACAGAUGGAGUAUGAAGCAUUCAGUCUGUGGGCUUAUAGAUGAAGGGACACCGAUAGAUGGAGUAUAAAGGCUUCAGUCUGUGGGCUUAUAGAUGAGGGGAUACAGAUGGAUGGAGUAUAAAAUAUUCAGUAUGUGGGCUUAUAGAUGAGGGGAUACAGAUGGAUGGAGUAUAAAUUAUUCAGUCUGUG
ensembl:lncRNA